rnacentral:snoRNA from 1 species
UAUGGCAGAUGAUGGAUAAUCUUAUCCUACACACUGAAUCUAUUGUGUAGACCAAAUACUCCGCUUAUUAUCUGAUGCCAUU